CUCCAAAUUCGAAUUUGGAGGAUUGUGGUCAAGUCCGGUCCACAGAUGGAUUGCGUCCGAUUAGUAAUAUUGGGUAAGAGCCCAACUAGCCUUAAUCGUUACGGUUUGUGGGAGCAAGAGCCCGGAGAUGGAAUCUGAGACACGAUUCCAGGCCCUACGGGGCUCAGCAGGCGCGAAAACUUUACAAUGCAGGAAACUGUGAUAAGGGAACCCCGAGUGCCCGUACACGCGGGCUGUCUGGGUGUUUAAUAUGCACCCAAAGAAAGGUCCGGGCAAGACCGGUGCCAGCCGCCGCGGUAAUACCGGCGGCUCGAGUGGUGACCACUUUUAUUGGGCUUAAAGCGUUCGUAGCUGGACUGCUAAGUCCCUUGGGAAAUCCGCCGGCUUAACCGGCGGGCGUCUAAGGGAUACUGGCAGUCUUGGGACCGGGAGAGGUAAGAGGUACUCCGGGGGUAGGAGUGAAAUCCUGUAAUCCCCGGGGGACCACCGGUGGCGAAGGCGUCUUACCAGAACGGCUCCGACAGUGAGGAACGAAAGCUGGGGGAGCGAACCGGAUUAGAUACCCGGGUAGUCCCAGCCGUAAACGAUGCGCGUUAGGUGUACCGGCGACCACGAGUUGCCGGGGUGCCGAAGGGAAACCGUGAAACGUGCCGCCUGGGAAGUACGGUCGCAAGGCUGAAACUCAAAUGAAUUGACGG
rnacentral:rRNA from 1 species